GGUGACCUCUUGGGAAGUCCUCUUGUUGCACCCAUCUUUUUGCAGAUAUAGUGUUAAACAUUACGCAUGACUGGUGCCACAGUCCACCAAUUCAUUCAUCAGCGUGAGUCCCGGUGCCAUAGCAUUUUUCUUAAUACUUUUUGUGCAUUCAUUUAUUGUCCACCAUGUGAUAAAAGUGUCAUUAUAAUUAUCUUAAAUAGUAGAACACUAAAAACAGAGGAGAUGCGGGGGAUCCGUUCAUCUGGGCUUGAGUCGAGGCGCUAGGGCAUUUCACUUGAUAUUAUAACUUGAAGUGGAGAUGUGGUGUGCUCGCACAG
rnacentral:lncRNA from 1 species